UGAAGAAGGCCUUCGGUUGUAAGCUCUUUGUCGGGACGAACGGUUUCGUUUAAUACGCGAGACUACUGACGGUACCCGAAGAAUAAGCACCGGCUAACUACGUGC
rnacentral:rRNA from 1 species